rnacentral:piRNA from 1 species
UGAUCAGUUGUGGCUUUACACCAUGGUC